UCUAAAUUUUUUUUAAUACAUGUAAAAAAAAUACCCAACAAACUAUCAAAUCUAUUUUACUAAUACACACACAAAAGCAUUCAACUUUUACCAAAUAAAUAACAUUAAGACAUGGAACCAGUCCAUGUCAUACUUGUGAGUAUGUUCUUUGUAUUCUAACAACUUUUUCUCUUAACCAAAACCCAUGAACCAAAUGAUUUCUGACCUGCUUCUCUCUCACACAAUUGUGUGUGUGUUCUUGGUGUUCUAACAACUUUCUCUCUCUAAAACCCAUGAACCAAAUGAUUUCUGACAUGCUUCUCACUCGCACACUUGUGUGUGUUUUUGGUCUUGGUGUUCCAAUAAUUUUCCCUCUCUAGAAACUCAUGCAACCAAACGAUUUCAGCCUGCUUCGAUCUUCAGAUCUGGUGGCUUCGAUCUUCAGAUCUGGUGGCUUCAAAAGAAAGGGAUGAGUACAUGAACACAUGGUGUCUUCGAUCUUCAGAUCUUGUAGCUUUGAUGGUGGCUUUGAUGAAAAGAAAUGAGCAGGAGAGUGGUGAAUACGGUGUCAUAAGGAUUCAACCAAGAGUCAAUAAAAUACAAUUGGAGGAAGAAGGCGGCGACUUAUCUACCGGACAAUCAGUGUACGGUUGUUAGUUCGAUCCUUUUCAUGCCGCUUGCAAACGAGCACCAUGUCGAAUCCAUAACCGUUAGAGCAAUGGCUUAGUUUUCAUCCGUGGUUUUAUCCGGAACGCCUAUCGUGUUCGUUAACAUCCAGACUGAACAAAUCCUUUCCACGGAUAAAUGUGAUUCGAAUAAAACUCCAAGACAAGGGAUAAGGUUGUGGUUUUUGCCCGGACUAGCAGAAAUUCCAAUUGAGUUGAUACUAGAGCCAAAAGAAAACAGAUUUGGCAUAGAUGUAAAAAGAACCGAAGAGGGUUUCGUGUGCAUUUACGCGGUGACCAAAGGCUCGGCUGCUGACCGCGCUGGUCUGCGAAAGUUGUUUGAAAACUCGAUUGAGACGGGCCACAUUAUGGUGAUAUCAAGGCUAGAAGGGAAAAGUGUCAUGCCAACAAUGGCUAUGUCUGACGGGUUGAUAGUCUGUUGUGACCACAAUGAUAUUAGAGAAACUCUUGUUGGGGCUGUUGACCAGCUCGAGACCAUACAACUUCAUAUCAUGUCAUGGCCUACACUUCAAAGUGGCUCGAGAACACAACCAGUUGGUGCUGCGACUCUAAGGCCUCCGAUGUGACACAUAUGUACAAUUUAUCAACUCAUUGGUGUUGCAUGUUUUGUAAUUUGAACGAAGUGAUAGCGAAUCAUACUCUUAAAAGUUGAUAGGAGCAUUCUAAACUUCAUAAAUUUUAAAGAAGUAUAC